CUGCUGCCUCCCGUAGGAGUCUGGUCCGUGUCUCAGUACCAGUGUGGGGGACCUUCCUCUCAGAACCCCUAGACAUCGUCGCCUUGGUGGGCCGUUACCCCGCCAACAAGCUAAUGUCACGCAUGCCCAUCCGUCUCCGGAGUCGCCUCCUUUGGCCGAAAGAAGAUGCCUCCCCUCGGCCACAUGCGGUAUUAGGCCGGAUUUCUCCGGGUUAUCCCGCUGAAACGGGCAGGUUGCAUACGCGUUACUCACCCGUGCGCCGGUCGCCGG
rnacentral:rRNA from 1 species